AAGACCUUGCACUUUUGGAGCGGCCGAUGUCUGAUUAGCUAGUUGGUAGGGUAAUGGCCUACCAAAGCUUCGAUCAGUAGCUGGUCUGAGAGGACGACCAGCCACACUGGGACUGAGACACGGCCCAGACUCCUACGGGAGGCAGCAGUGGGGAAUUUUGGACAAUGGGGGAAACCCUGAUCCAGCCAUGCCGCGUGAGUGAAGAAGGCCUUCGGGUUGUAAAGCUCUUUCAGUCGGGAAGAAAAGGUUACGGUUAAUAACUGUAAUUCAUGACGGUACCGACAGAAGAAGCACCGGCUAACUACGUGCCAGCAGCCGCGGUAAUACGUAGGGUGCGAGCGUUAAUCGGAAUUACUGGGCGUAAAGGGUGCGCAGGCGGUUUUGUAAGUCAGAUGUGAAAUCCCCGGGCUUAACCUGGGAAC
rnacentral:rRNA from 1 species